UGGCGGGCGCGGUGGGCGCGCGCAGCCCGUGCUUCCUGUCUCCACGACGACAUGGCGGCGGUGCGGGUGGUGCUGGUGGCAGCAUGUUGUCCAGUAAGGGAAAAAAUACCCUUUGCACUCACCUCCCCGGGAGGCUGAGUAUUUCACUGGACUCGUAGUAAGCCUGCACCAGCAGCACAAAGGAGGAAAAUACCGCGCAGAACCCUGGGGUUAUACGGUCCCCCAGAGACAGCUUUGGCGAGAAGGCAGCUGUGAAGUUGGACCUCCAACUGAACUCAUGUCUGUUUGUAGAAGAUCAGAACUGUGCACUGAGGGGCUGAACCAGCAGACUUGACGACAGCACGCUUCCGUAGGAAAUAAAGGACCUGGUCUGCAGCUGUCUGGAUGAAGGAACAAGUGGUUCCCUGCAGUCUUCUGUUCCAGAAUAAAAUUAUUGAAAAUCUUGA